rnacentral:lncRNA from 1 species
CUUUCUCCAACAGGUGUCAUCUAAGAAAGUUUUAACUUACCAGGGGAUGACCUUUCUCCAACAGGUAUUAUCCAAGAUUGUUUCAAGUUUUAACUUCCCCGGGAAUGACCUUUUCUCCAACUGAAACACUAAUAUAAGACUAACCAUUUGCUAGUUCUUAUUACACAGAUAUUCGGCCCCAAUUUUUAAAAGAAUGGCAGCUGAGAGGUCAUCAGCUGCAUAUGCCACAAUCUGCAUCAUCUUUGCAAUGUUGGUAUUGAUGGGCAUAUCUGAUGGGGCUACGCACUCGUUUGCACCUGCCCCAUCUCUUUCUGGCAGGCCAACGUCCGCACCUGCUCCAUCUCCUCAUUCCCACCAUAAAAAAUCAUUUGGACCUGCUGCACCUCCCCAUUCCAGCCAUAAAAAAUUAUCUGGACCUUCUGCAUCUCCUCAUUCCGGCCAUAAAAAUAGUGGCACCUCAGUUGGUGCUGGAUUCUCUCCUCAUUUGCUGAUCUCGAUGAUAUCUACUUCAUUGAUAUUCAUUUUACCAUUGUGCUACUCUUUCUUCCACUAGCCUUUCCUCCAUGUUUUUCCCACUUCCCUUAAUAAGUAUGAUUGAAUUUGAUUGUAACCCGUGUUUUACUGUUUCCCCUAUCAUUGUGCUAUUUUUGUAAAGAUAAAUAAGUUUGGUGCCAGUUGUGUGGUAUCAUUUGUUGUAAUGGAAUUUAUGAUCUGAUUAUUAUUUUGUUUAAUUGUAAAGAA